UAAUGAGCGUCCUCGACAGGUGCUCCCGGCCAUUCUCUUUGAAUUGGUCCGGGGGAGAAUAGGGAAGACGGUGAGAAUCCGUCGCGGGGCCGCCGCUGUAAUCGGCUAGGUUCCCGGUCCAAAGAGUGCCACUGCCGCGAGGCGGGAAGGCCGGCCGGGAACUGCUCGAAGCCGUAAGCCAGAAGACCUGCCCGUCGAGAUUCUGUUCC
rnacentral:ncRNA from 2 species